rnacentral:rRNA from 1 species
AGCAGCCGCGGUAAUUCCAGCUCCAAUAGCGUAUAUUAAAGUUGUUGCAGUUAAAAAGCUCGUAGUUGAAUUUCGGGGUUCUACCGUUGGUCGGGCUAUUGUCUGUACUGGCGUGUAGAAUUUCUACCUUCUGGGGAACUAUCAUGUUAUUAAUUUAGCGUGGUAGGAAACCAGAACCUUUACCUUGAAAAAAUUAGAGUGUUCAAAGCAGGCUUAUGUCUGAAUACAUUAGCAUGGAAUAAUAAAAUAGGACGGUGGUCCUGUUUUGUUGGUUUCUGAAUCACCGUAAUGAUUAAUAGGGAUAGUUGGGGGCAUUAGUAUUCAAUUGUCAGAGGUGAAAUUCUUGGAUUUAUUGAAGACUAACUACUGCGAAAGCAUUUGCCAAGGAUGUUUUCAUUAAUCAAGAACGAAAGUUAGGGAUCGAAGACGAUCAGAUACCGUCGUAGUCUUAACCAUAAAACUAUGCCGACUAGGGAUCGGACGAUGUUAACUUUCCUGACUCGUCGCGCCUUACGGAACA